rnacentral:rRNA from 1 species
UUUGUAGGCGGCCUUGUAAGUCAGGUGUGAAAUCCCUCGGCUCAACCGAGGAAUGGCGCUUGAUACUGCAAGGCUUGAGGGAGACAGGGGUAAGCGGAACUGAUGGUGGAGCGGUGAAAUGCGUUGAUAUCAUCAGGAACACCGGUGGCGAAAGCGGCUUACUGGGUCUCUUCUGACGCUGAGGAACGAAAGCUAGGGUAGCAACG